UACGUAGGGUGCAAGCGUUAAUCGGAAUUACUGGGCGUAAAGCGUGCGCAGGCGGUGAUGUAAGACAGGUGUGAAAUCCCGGGCUUAACCUGGGAACUGCAUUUGUGACUGCAUCGCUGGAGUGCGGCAGAGGGGGAUGGAAUUCCGCGUGUAGCAGUGAAUGCGUAGAUAUGCGGAGGAACACCGAUGGCGAAGGCAAUCCCUGGGCCUGCACUGACGCUCAUGCACGAAAGCGUGGGAGCAAACAGG
rnacentral:rRNA from 1 species